rnacentral:rRNA from 1 species
GAUGAACGCUGACAGAAUGCUUAACACAUGCAAGUCUUUGGCGAAGCUGUGCUUGCACAGCCUAGCCAAGGCGGACGGGUGAGUAACGCGUAAGGAACUUGCCCUGCAGUCAGGGAUAACAGACGGAAACGACUGAUAAGACCUGGUAAAGUCAGGCGGACUCAUGUCCAGCCUGAUGAAAAGAGAUGCUGCAGGAGAGCCUUGCGUCCUAUUAGCUUGUUGGUGGGGUAACGGCCCUCCAAGGCGAUGAUAGGUAGCCGGCCUGAGAGGGUGGACGGCCACAAGGGGACUGAGAUACGGCCCUUACUCCUACGGGAGGCAGCAGUGGGGAAUAUUGGACAAUGGGGGCAACCCUGAUCCAGCAAUUCUGUGUGCACGAUGAAGGUUUUCGGAUUGUAAAGUGCUUUCAGCAGGGAAGAAAAAAAUGACGGUACCUGCAGAAGAAGCGACGGCUAAAUACGUG